AUUGAACGCUGGCGGCAUGCCUUACACAUGCAAGUCGAACGGCAGCACGGGAGCAAUCCUGGUGGCGAGUGGCGAACGGGUGAGUAAAGUAUCGGAACGUGCCCAGUCGUGGGGGAUAACGUAGCGAAAGUUACGCUAAUACCGCAUACGAUCUAUGGAUGAAAGCGGGGGAUCGCAAGACCUCGCGCGAUUGGAGCGGCCGAUAUCAGAUUAGGUAGUUGGUGGGGUAAAGGUUCACCAAGCCGACGAUCUGUAGCUGGUCUGAAAGGACGACCAGCCACACUGGGACUGAGACACGGCCCAGACUCCCACGGGAGGCAGCAGUGGGGAAUUUUGGACAAUGGGCGAAAGCCUGAUCCAGCCAUGCCGCGUGCAGGAUGAAGGCCUUCGGGUUGUAAACUGCUUUUGUACGGAACGAAAAGGUUUGGGCUAAUAAGCUGAGCUCAUGACGGUACCGUAAGAAUAAGCACCGGCUAACUACGUGCCAGCAGCCGCCGUAA
rnacentral:rRNA from 1 species